rnacentral:rRNA from 1 species
CCUACGGGAGGCAGCAGUGGGGAAUAUUGGGCAAUGGGCGCAAGCCUGACCCAGCAAAGCCGCGUGAAGGAAGAAGGCUUUCGGGUUGUAAACUUCUUUUCUCAGGGACGAAGCAUGUGACGGUACCUGAGGAAUAAGCCACGGCUAACUACGUGCCAGCAGCCGCGGCAAUACGUAGGUGGCAAGCGUUAUCCGGAUUUACUGGGUGUAAAGGGCGUGUAGGCGGGGACGCAAGGCAGAUGUGAAAACCACGGGCUCAACCUGUGGCCUGCAUUUGAAACUGUGUUUCUUGAGUACUGGAGAGGCAGCCGGAAUUCCUAGUGUAGCGGUGAAAUGCGUAGAUAUUAGGAGGAACACCAGUGGCGAAGGCGGUCUGCUGGACAGCAACUGACGCUGAGGCGCGAAAGCGUGGGGAGCAAACAGGAUUAGAUACCCGGGUAGUC